rnacentral:rRNA from 1 species
AUUGAACGCUGGCGGCAGGCCUAACACAUGCAAGUCGAAUGGUAACAGGAAACAGCUUGCUGUUUCGCUGACGAGUGGCGGACGGGUGAGUAAUGUCUGGGAAACUGCCUGAUGGAGGGGGAUAACUACUGGAAACGGUAGCUAAUACCGCAUAACGUCGCAAGACCAAAGAGGGGGACCUUCGGGCCUCUUGCCAUCAGAUGUGCCCAGAUGGGAUUAGCUAGUAGGUGGGGUAACGGCUCACCUAGGCGACGAUCCCUAGCUGGUCUGAGAGGAUGACCAGCCACACUGGAACUGAGACACGGUCCAGACUCCUACGGGAGGCAGCAGUGGGGAAUAUUGCACAAUGGGCGCAAGCCGGAUGCAGCCAUGCCGCGUGUAUGAAGAAGGCCUUCGGGUUGUAAAGUACUUUCAGCGGGGAGGAAGGGAGUAAAGUUAAUACCUUUGCUCAUUGACGUUACCCGCAGAAGAAGCACCGGCUAACUCCG